AUUGAACGCUGGCGGCAUGCUUUACACAUGCAAGUCGAGCGGCAGCGCGGGGGCAACCCUGGCGGCGAGCGGCGAACGGGUGAGUAAUGCAUCGGAACGUGUCCCGUAGUGGGGGAUAACCCGGCGAAAGCCGGGCUAAUACCGCAUAUGCUCUACGGAGGAAAGCGGGGGACCGCAAGGCCUCGCGCUAUGGGAGCGGCCGAUGUCCGAUUAGCUAGUUGGUGGGGUAAUGGCUUACCAAGGCGACGAUCGGUAGCUGGUCUGAGAGGAUGAUCAGCCACACUGGGACUGAGACACGGCCCAGACUCCUACGGGAGGCAGCAGUGGGGAAUUUUGGACAAUGGGGGCAACCCUGAUCCAGCCAUGCCGCGUGCGGGAAGAAGGCCUUCGGGUUGUAAACCGCUUUUAGCCGGGAAGAAAAGGCCAGGCCUAAUACGUCUGGUUCUUGACGGUACCGGCGGAAUAAGCACCGGCUAACUACGUGCCAGCAGCCGCCGUAACAC
rnacentral:rRNA from 1 species